CCCCAACCACUAUUCGUCUUAGACAAAUAUGAAGGCGGGCUGGAACCUCUCGGGGUUACAGCCUUGCUGAAUUAUUCACCCUUGUCUUUUGCGUACUUCUUGUUUCCUUGGUGGGUUCGCCCACCACUAGGACAAACAUAAACCUUUUGUAAUUGCAAUCAGCGUCAGUAACAAAUUAAUAAUUACAACUUUCAACAACGGAUCUCUUGGUUCUGGCAUCGAUGAAGAACGCAGCGAAAUGCGAUAAGUAGUGUGAAUUGCAGAAUUCAGUGAAUCAUCGAAUCUUUGAACGCACAUUGCGCCCUUUGGUAUUCCAAAGGGCAUGCCUGUUCGAGCGUCAUUUGUACCCUCAAGCUUUGCUUGGUGUUGGGCGUCUUGUCUCUAGCUUUGCUGGAGACUCGCCUUAAAGUAAUUGGCAGCCGGCCUACUGGUUUCGGAGCGCAGCACAAGUCGCACUCUCUAUCAGCAAAGGUCUAGCAUCCAUUAAGCCUUUUUUUCAACUUUUGACCUCGGAUCAGGUAGGGAUACCCGCUGAACUUAAGCAUAUCAAUAAGCCGGAGGAA
rnacentral:rRNA from 1 species